UACAGAGGUCUCAAGCGUUGUUCGGAUUCAUUGGGCGUAAAGGGUGCGUAGGCGGCGCGGUAAGUCGGGUGUGGAAAUCUCGGAGCUUAACUCCGAAACUGCAUUCGAUACUGCCGUGCUUGAGGACUGGAGAGGAGACUGGAAUUUACGGUGUAGCGGUGAAAUGCGUAGAUAUCGUAAGGAAGACCAGUGGCGAAGGCGGGUCUCUGGACAGUUCCUGACGCUGAGGCACGAAGGUCAGGGGAGCAAACGGG
rnacentral:rRNA from 1 species